rnacentral:tRNA from 1 species
GAAGGGAGAGCUCAGUGGUUGAGUGUGUGCUUAGCAUGCACAGGGUCCUGGGUUCAAUCCCCAGUACAUCCA